rnacentral:rRNA from 1 species
GACGAACCGUGCGAACGUUGUUCGGAAUCACUGGGCUUAAAGGGUGCGUAGGCGGGUUGUCCAGUCUGGGGUGAAAUCCCACGGCUCAACCGUGGAAUUGCCUCAGAUACUGACGACCUCGAGGGAGGUAGGGGCGAGCGGAACUGUGGGUGGAGCGGUGAAAUGCGUUGAUAUCCACAGGAACUCCGGUGGCGAAGGCGGCUCGCUGGACCUCUUCUGACGCUGAGGCACGAAAGCUAGGGGAGCAAACGGG